rnacentral:lncRNA from 12 species
GAGAUAAUGGCCUGAGCAAAGGGCAGAAUGUCCAUCAGGGAAAAAAGGAAGAAGGCAGGAUAAAUAAGGUCCAAACUCGGAGACCUUAAGGAUCUGGCUUGGCACGGUUGCCAGAGAAGAAGAUGAGCGUGGGUUACGUGCUGUCAGUGUUUGUGAGGGAGCUGCCUGGUUAUGUUCUCUUUGCUGGGAUCUUUAUGCCCGUGACUUUACUCCUGCUGCUGCUAAUUGCCUACUUCAGGAUCAAACUAAGAGAAGUAGAGGACGAAAUGGCCGUGGUACAAGACUCCAGCAAUGCCUUCCUGAACCACCGCAGCCAGUGGAAGAGACCCAGGAGAUACGGACAAAAAGAGAACAGAUACAAGAAUUCAAGGAUGUUUAAGGGAGCUUCACGUCUCAGGAAGCAAGCUUAAACCUAGUACUGAGUGCUGCAGGUUUCACCAUAGCCAGCUGUAAAUAAAUACCAUAUAGGAAAACAAAACUGGAGAGCCAGUGCUGCGCCAUCCUAAUGAAACAGCUGCUGCCACCCAGAGUCCUUGCAAGCGCUAAGCUGUGCAGCUCAGCAGUGACCAGACCUCCUGCAAUGACCUGCACCGGUUCCCCUGUGUGACACAGGAUUUGGGGAGAGGGACAGUGUCCUGCUCACCAGCUCCUCCCUGGCCUGCCAAGGAGAAAGAGACACAACCAGCUCCUGGGAGAGCUGAGCUGGCACGUACAAGUGAAGCGGCCUUAUGAAACCGAGAUGCAUAAAUAGCAAGCUGAUAUCAAACACUGACAUCUGGGAAAUUGAAAAGGGUUUUGAAGGGGAACUGACAUUUAUUAGCUUGUACACUUUGGGUAAGAUUGUGGGUUUUGUAAAGUAUCCUUUCCGCAGAAUUUGGGAGCAAAAUGUAACAGUAGCAGGAAACAAAAGGGUUUCUCUCUGCUGACAAAAAAAAAAAAAAAAAAACCCCCCCCCCCCCCCCCCCCCCCCCCCCCCCCCC